GACGAACGCUGGCGGCGUGCCUAAUACAUGCAAGUUGAGCGCUGAAGGUUGGUACUUGUACCAACUGGAUGAGCAGCGAACGGGUGAGUAACGCGUGGGGAAUCUGCCUUUGAGCGGGGGACAACAUUUGGAACCGAAUGCUAAUACCGCAUAAAAACUUUAAACACAAGUUUUAAGUUUGAAAGAUGCAAUUGCAUCACUCAAAGAUGAUCCCGCGUUGUAUUAGCUAGUUGGUGAGGUAAAGGCUCACCAAGGCGAUGAUACAUAGCCGACCUGAGAGGGUGAUCGGCCACAUUGGGACUGAGACACGGCCCAAACUCCUACGGGAGGCAGCAGUAGGGAAUCUUCGGCAAUGGACGAAAGUCUGACCGAGCAACGCCGCGUGAGUGAAGAAGGUUUUCGGAUCGUAAAACUCUGUUGGUAGAGAAGAACGUUGGUGAGAGUGGAAAGCUCAUCAAGUGACGGUAACUACCCAGAAAGGGACGGCUAACUACGUG
rnacentral:rRNA from 1 species